rnacentral:rRNA from 1 species
UCUAAAGAAGCAGCCCUCAUGAACAAGCCCGAUCCCGUCUGAUCUUGGAAGCUAAGCAGGGUCAGGCCUGGUUAGUACUUGGAUGGGAGAUCACCUAGGAAGACCACGUCCUGUAGGAG